rnacentral:sRNA from 1 species
AUGAACAGAACCAGGACAGGGAGGCUGGCCGGAGGUUCCUGCAGAGGGAGCGUCAAGGCCCUGUGCUGCUGUCCUUGGGGGCCAGAGGGGUUGCCCAUCAUGCCCACUGGCAGGAGAGAGGGAACUGACCCACUUGCUCCUACCAGCUUCUGAAGGUGACACUGAGUCCCAGGUGACGCCGCACCACCAAAGAAGAUAAUCUCAGGAGACACUGAAGAAGGGAGGCUCUGUGGACAGAGGAGCAGUAACAAUCCCCACUCUCCAAUUGUGGAAGAGUUCCAAGUCCCAUACAACAAACUCCAGGUGAUCUUUAAGUCAGACUUUUCCAAUGAAGAGCGUUUUACGGGGUUUGCUGCAUACUAUGUUGCCACAGACAUAAAUGAAUGCACAGAUUUUGUAGAUGUCCCUUGUAGCCACUUCUGCAACAAUUUCAUUGGUGGUUACUUCUGCUCCUGCCCCCCGGAAUAUUUCCUCCAUGAUGACAUGAAGAAUUGUGGAGUUAAUUGCAGUGGGGAUGUAUUCACUGCACUGAUUGGGGAGAUUGCAAGUCCCAAUUAUCCCAAACCAUAUCCAGAGAA